rnacentral:rRNA from 1 species
ACUAACAAGGAUUCCCCUAGUAACUGCGAGUGAACCGGGAAAAGCUCAAAUUUAAAAUCUGGCAUCCUUUGGGUGUCCGAGUUGUAUUCUGGAGAAGUGUUUUCCGCGCUGGACUGUGUAAAAGUUUCUUGGAACAGAACAUCAUAGAGGGUGAGAAUCCCGUCUUUGACACAGACUCCCAGUGCUUUGUGAUGCGCUCUCAAAGAGUCGCGUUGUUUGGGAAUGCAGCGCAAAAUGGGUGGUAAAUUCCAUCUAAAGCUAAAUAUUGGUGGGAGACCGAUAGCGAACAAGUACCGUGAGGGAAAGAUGAAAAGCACUUUGGAAAGAGAGUUAAACAGUACGUGAAAUUGUUGAAAGGGAAACGAUUGAAGUCAGUCGCGUUGUAUGAGACUCAGCCUUGCUUUUUUGCUUGGUGUAUUUCUUGUAUAACGGGCCAGCAUCAAUUUCAGCCAUUGGAUAAAGUUGAAGGGAAUGUGGCACCUUCGGGUGUGUUAUAGCCUUUCUUCGCAUACACUGGCCGGGAUUGAGGUUCGCAGCACGCCUUUUUGGCCGGGGUUCGCCCACGUACGUGCUUAGGAUGCUGGCGUAAUGGCUUUAAACGACCCGUCUUGAAACACGGACCAAGG